CAACCCUCCAGCCCAGGCUCCCAGCAGGGCUGAUUCUUGCACCCUCAUCCCACCCCUAGCUAGUUUGGCUUUCUCACUCCUCCGGUCACACCCCCACAUCGAGCUCACAGCUAACCCUAAACAGCCUCCCUUCUCCCUGCAUCCCCCCACACCCGUUUUUUAAACCCCUUCUCUCCCAGCUGCUCUGCCCGUAGUUUCCUGCCUCCAGCUCUCACUGCAAACUGGCCCCAGAACCCAGGUCAAACUAAAUGUGUUUUACUGUUCCCUAGAACUCGGGGUCAUCAAUCACACGCCCUCUACUGCUGCCUUCCUAAACGGGAAAGGGCAGAAAUCACAAAGUUAUCAGCUUUGUACAAGCACUUGUUUCUCUGCGUGGCAACAGCAGGAGUCAGCAAGCUGGAAGGAAGGAGGUGUGUGCAAGUAACUGUGAUUUGCACUCCCACCAGCCCAAGAGAAGUGCAGUCUCUGCCCCACGUAAUGACACUUCUUGACAGGGCCCUUGGCCAGGCCUCAGCUUGCUCCUGUGGUUCGGGAUGAAAGUCAGUAAAAAAAUUACAGCUGCCCCUGUGAGCAGCAAUACUUCAGUACACCUGUGAGACCAGUGCCAAAUGAAGCACAGAAGUGAUCACAACAGAAAGAACAUUUCCUUCUGUCAGUCUCCAUCUUUAAUUCCAAAGUAACAGUGUUGCAGCCAAGGUUUAACAAAAUGGUUCAGCUAAUCCCUGCUAUUCACAGAUGACUGUUCACCUGCUCCACCACAGACCCUUGUCUGACCCCUUGCUGAGCUGUUUCAGCUGGCCAGAGCUGCAGCAAAGAUUCAGCUCUUAGUCAGAGUGUAACUGGGAAGCAGCAGUUCGGGGCAGUGGACACCGAGCAGCUCCCUCUCACACCUAUGCUACUGCUACAGCCAGCACCGACUGAAGAGCAGCCCCACUUCACCUCCCUUCCUGUGGGUGGUGCCUUCCUGUCUCCUCCUUUGUACAGCAUUCCUGCUUUCUGCAACUUAGCUUUCUGAACUGGACCACACAAGGGCCACUGCUGGCAUCGGGAAGGGAAGAGGAAGUCCCAGCCUGGAAGAAGAAGGAGGAUAAGAUCAGGAUGGCUCCCCUUUUGCCUAGACUGCCAUUAGCUCAGCCUUAGCUGCAAAGUGAAGCCACACACUGACCCCAGCAGCACGCAGAACCAGAUUUCUGCCUCAAUGAGACAUUUUGCAAACAUGCUAAGGCUACAAAAUGUCCAAGUUGACAAAGACAUGCAACGCUGACCAUUCAAUAAGUCACAGCUAUCACAGGAACGACUGUGUCCCCCGGGCCACAGGUCCCAAAAACAGGGAUGGUGUACAGUGAUCAUGGCAACGCACUACGCAGGACCCAGUAACCUGAGGUAGGUCAUUUACAGUAAGAAAACCAUGUCCUACACCAGUGUUACAUCCUGAUCAACAGGAACCCCUUUCAGGUUCCAGAAGACGUGGGGUCGAGGACUGCUUCCUUAACAAGUGUGCAAGAAAGAAACAGGAAUAUCCAUGUUGAUUAAUCUUAGUUUAAGUGAGCAGAACAAAGAGUUAGUGUUACCCAUGCCAGAGAAAGCCAACCUAAACCUCUGAGGAGUGUUAGCAGCUUCAAGAUAAAGAGUCAGUCAGCUGAAGCAACUCUGAAAAGGCUUUCCUGCCAGCAUACAGGGUACAAUUUGAACUUUAUGAUUACUUUGUUACAGAUCAUUCCACAAACAGUAAGAUUUUGGUUGUGUUAGAUCAGCGAAGCAGGAAGAGCUUGGGCUUGCUUGCAUUAAAAUAAACUCUGCUGAUACAGUAAGAAAUACUGUGUCAGGACACUGAAAAAAUACAAGGCCUUAAUGUGACCCAGGAGUGGUUCUCCAUUCGGAUCACUGAAAACCCUGCUUUGGAAAAGCAUCAUGGGAAGCAGCAGCCGCUGCCGUGGUGAGCAUUAGCAAUGCCCCAAAUAGCUCUGAUAAAUUACAAUGCAAUAGUUACACCACAGAGCUCUUCUCUGCUGCGCUAGACAAAGAUGUGACAAUAAAGGACACUAUUGCAAAGCUUCACUUCCACUCAGACACGCAGAAAAUCCGGCACUAGGAAAAGACGAACUGUAAAAGACAAAACAUUGUCUGAUACAGUCCGAUAACAAAGCCAGAUCUCUGGUACCAUAAACUGUACAAAAAUGAUAGAAAAGAAUAUGCACUGUUAUUAAUACAGUGCUUAUUUUAAUAUAAAAUAAACAGCUUACAUUUCCACUGUAAAUAUAGGCUAUAUACAGAAUUAUGUAUAGAUAUAGCUACAUGUAUAAAGCUUCAUUAUAGGCCUCUGAUACAUUUAUAACUAUGGCUCCCUGAGCCAUUUGUAGAGUGCAUUUAAUAACAAAAAAUUAGUAGUAUGGAAUAAAUACAAUAAUAAAAACAUGAGUUCUUCUGACAUGGUUUUUAAAACUCUCUGGCUUGACACAUUGUGCUAAAAAUUAAAAGAUGAAAAGACAAUAAUCUGCGAGGAGGAGGAAGAGCUGGCCUGCCACAGGCAGGGAGCGUAGCUCUCCAAAAUUAAAGUGACUUUGCCCUGAAUUUCAGCCCUUGACAGCAACCUUGUUCUCUGCAGCAGCAAACAUAGCAUAGAAGCGCGAGUUCUCGUUGGCCAGAAGGGCAGUCGGGGUGUCGAAUUCCACUACCUGAAACCAAACAAGGCAGGCAGCAACUGAUUCUACUGGACUCUUAUUACCAAGGAUAUGAAUGAACAGAGGAUUUUCUACCCUGCAGUGCAGCUGUUCCCUCAGUUCAGUGGCACCAGCAGACCAGAGGCAGAGAGGCUCCCUGCUCACCUGUCCCUGUGUUAGCACCAUGAUGCGAUCGCAGCCCAGGACCGUGUGCAGGCGGUGAGCGAUCGUUAACAUAGUGCAGUCUGCAAACGCCUCUCUGAUGGUCUCCUGGAUCAGUAAGUCUGUCUCUGUGUCCAUAGCAGCUGUUGCUUCAUCCAGGAUCAAUAUCUGAAAGCAGCACAGAAUUCUGGCUGUUACCCAUGGUCACACCUUCCCUCCCUGAAUAUAAAAAUACAUAUAGAGGGGGCAGAAGGGUCACAGCCAAGUGUUGUCACAGCUGGCAAUCCUUACAGAGUUGUGGGCACAAACACAGGUUUUGCAAGUACCCUUUCAGUUUCCUCUAUGUAAUUAUCUUCAACAAAGCCUACAGAUGACACUUACAUUUUUAUUGUCACAUCCUAGAGCUACACAUGGGUUAUAACCCGGCCUUUAAGUUUCUACUACUUCCAGUUUUAUAUUCCACAGAUGAAUCCCAAUUUACUGGUAAAAAUUCUGCUUGACACAUC